rnacentral:rRNA from 1 species
UACGGAGGGGGCUAGCGUUGUUCGGAAUUACUGGGCGUAAAGCGCGCGUAGGCGGCUUUGUAAGUUAGAGGUGAAAGCCCGGAGCUCAACUCCAGAACUGCCUUUAAGACUGCAUCGCUUGAAUCCAGGAGAGGUGAGUGGAAUUCCGAGUGUAGAGGUGAAAUUCGUAGAUAUUCGGAAGAACACCAGUGGCGAAGGCGGCUCACUGGACUGGUAUUGACGCUGAGGUGCGAAAGCGUGGGGAGCAAACAGG